UACGAAGGGGGCUAGCGUUGCUCGGAAUUACUGGGCGUAAAGGGCGCGUAGGCGGAUGUUUAAGUCGGGCGUGAAAUCCCACGGCUCAACCGUGGAAGUGCACUCGAAACUGCGCAGCUAGAGUCCUGGAGAGGAAGGUGGAAUGCUUGGUGUAGAGGUGAAAUUCGUAGAUAUCAAGCGGAACACCGGUGGCGAAGGCGGCCUUCUGGACAGUGACUGACGCUGAGAUGCGAAAGCGUGGGGAGCAAACAGGG
rnacentral:rRNA from 1 species